UACGUAGGGGGCAAGCGUUGUCCGGAAUCAUUGGGCGUAAAGAGCGUGUAGGCGGUCCGGUAAGUCCGCUGUGAAAGUCGGGGCUCAACCCUCGAAUGCCGGUGGAUACUGUCGGGCUAGAGUGCGGAAGAGGAGAGUGGAAUUCCUGGUGUAGCGGUGAAAUGCGCAGAUAUCAGGAAGAACACCGGUGGCGAAGGCGGCGUCUCUGGGCCUUACCUGACGCUGGAGGAG
rnacentral:rRNA from 1 species